GACGUCUAUCUAUCUAUCUAUCUGGAAUUGUAUUCCUCAUCAUGUCUUCUCUACUUUUGGUGGCCUUAACUUCAUGUUGUUGUGCAAUUAUAAUAUUGACAAAAUUCCAGGGAAACUUUCUGCUUUUCAUCGGCAGGUUUUCUUGUCAUGGUCCUUAAAUUUAUAAACACAAUUUUUCUCCACACAGAUAUUAUAUAUGGAAUAAUCGGGAUAUAUUGUAUAAAAAUAUUUCUUUGUUUUUAGAAUAUUGGUUCCGAAAUAAUAUCCUAUUGGUGAGCCAACUGGUAAAUGCAGAGGGUCUUUUACUCAGUUAUAAGGAAUUCUUAUCUCUUUACAAGGUCCCUGUAACACCUAAAGAUUUUGCAAUUGUUUUAGACGCCAUUCCCUCAGGUGUUGCUCUGUUAUUCAGGAACGUGUCAAGACCUGACCCUCAGAGCCUACCUUCUAUUGACCCUGUUGACUCAUCAGUAGGAAAGAUUUGUUUCUCUUCUGGUCCAUUCAACAACAGAGCGAUACGAACCUUGUUUCAGCAGGAUGUUGUAUCUAUACCUUAUGUCAUGCCUUAUUUGAAUGGAUUUAUUGAUAAUAUCUGUUGGAAAAAAGUUUGGAUGUUGCCACACACAUACCUACUUGUUAACAAAAUUAAGGAGGUUUCCGUUAAAAUUAUUCAUAAAUAUUAUCCUGCCAACCACUAUAUAAAGAAGUUUAAGGAAAACAUGAACUCAAAUUGCUCCUUUUGUAAUGACCACCCAGAAACAGUGUUGCAUCUUUUUUGGGGCAUUGUAUACAUGUAAGAAAACUGUGGCAAGACAUCAGUAGAUUUAUAAUUGAACACAUUUAUGAAGAUUUUACACUUGUGGAGAGAUGUACUGCUUGGAUUCUUUACAUACGAUAAAAAUAAGCUGAAACAUUUUUAUGUAAUUAAUUUCAUUAUUCUUUUGGCCAAAUUUCAUAUACACAAAUGUAAAUUUACUAACAAAAAAACAUUUUCUUACCCUACAAAAAGAAAUGGAACUGUAUUUUAAGACAGUUAAAUACUCUACUAACAAAAAAGCUGUUAGAAUUGUAAGCGUAUGUAUGUCCCUUAAGGUCCUUGUGUAAUUGUAAUGUGAUAUUGUACCCCCUAGCUCGAUUGUCCAUUAUAUAUAAUCUAUAUAUACUUGUGUUCCCUUAUGUACUUUCUGUAUUGAUUUGUUGUUAAUAAAAAUAAAUUUUAAAAAGACAUAACAACAUCCCAAAAAAAAAAAAAAAAAAAAUUACUUGUAAGCGACGUUGGCUAGCAAAACUCAUACGUAGAAACACGUUAUCGGGUCGUCUCGCGCCGUACUGCGCAUAUGCCGGUCGUCAACUCAGAGGCACUCCUUCUAUAUAAACUUGUUUUUGACGAAAAUGAAAACGUGUCAGUUUGUGACUCUCACAGGGUUGGAGUCAUAACAAGUUCAACUACAUAAGACAUUGGCUCAAAUCUAGGUUGUUCCUUUAGAUUUCGAGAAAAUGAAUGAAUAAGUAAGAUCCCGGGAAGUUUCGUGGUGUUAAGACCUUCUGUCUUUGGCUAUAUGGACACACCUGGUGCCCAAAUUGAUUACGCGUUUAAGUAUAUCGCGCAGCUGAGUGUCAAGUGUGGAAUUUUGCAAUUGUUUUAGAUGCCAUUCCCUCAGGUGUUGCUUGAUUAUUGAGGAACGUGUCAAGACCCGGGCCCUGUUUCAGAAAGCAGGUUUAACAAACUGAGUUUAAACCUGAACUCUGGGUUGACUAACUCUGAGCUGUCAAACUCAAGAGUUUUCGGUUUCAGAGCAGGUGAUAACAAUUAGUUCAAUCAACUCUUGGUUAAGUUAACCCUGAGUUAAACACGUGCAUGAGGAGAUAAAAAGCCCUCAUCAAUGGAACGCAGAUAACAUGAUUCAUCAUGGCAACGGGAGAAAAGGGCUCGAACCUCCUACUUGUCCAGUGGCGUUACGCUUCGAACACACCGACUGCGUCAUUGCAUCACUGCUGCAUAACAUUUUGCGCCGCUAGGCAACUAAACUGAUGCAGGUACCUUUUGCAAAUGGUCGCAUGCGGUUGGACACAUAGAGGAGAGAAUCAUUUUCGCAGUGUCCUCAAAACCGUGUCUUUUUGACACAACUGCUGACAGCUACAGGGACAUAAACACAAAAAAUCCUGCUUGGAGACAAGUGUCCACGAUAGUAGGAUUGCCAGGUCAGUUUAGUAGUGAGCUUGUGCUAGAUGUGGCUCGUUAGCUAGCUAGCUAACCUAGCCAAUGAGGUGUGUGUGAAAGAAAUAGUCAAAUUAUGCUAGUUACUACCCCUGAUAACUUUACCAAAUGUUCAUGUUUGAAAGAGUGUGAAUGCUAGAUAAAUAGUAAUGGAAGUAGUAGAUACUACUGUACCCCUGAUAAUUUGGUCAAAUAACCGUGUGUGUCAAUGUGUACAGUAGGUGACAUGUCCAUGAUAGCUAUCUAAUAACUAUAGUUAUGCUAGGUAAUGGUUUGGCUUAUCAUGUUCAUGUCUAUGUAGAAGAAGACUGUAGGAGGAAGUGGAGAGGACUCAGGGACAGGUAUCAGAGAGAGAGAGAAGGGCAGAGAAAGAGAAAAAGAGGUCUGGGUCAGCAGCUUCAGGCCAGCAGCCUUGGCGCUUCUGCCACAUUCUUUCUUUUCUGGAUCCAUUUAUUGUGCCUAGGGCAACGAGUGGCAAUUUUAAAGCCAGACCCCUUACGUCAUCCACAAGUGUUGUCGCCACCGGUGCAUCAAGACCCUCAACGUCAGCUACAAGUGCGACCAUCACCUCCACCGGGGUAGUGAGACCCUCUACAACAUCAUCCACGAGUAUGACCACCACCGGUGCAGCCAUGGAAGAUGAUGAAAUGGAGGAAGCACCUCUGGAUCUGGGACCACCUGAGAUUAUUAUGAACCUCACGGAAGUGACCACUGAGGACCUCGUUGAACAGGAUGUGGCCGUGGAGAGAAAUGGAGAGAGAAACGAAGAGGAACAACGUCACACCAGGCGUCAUCGGAGGUACCAGCCCCCAGAUCCACUCAACUCAUUUCAGCAGAGGCUCCUCCAAGCCGUCGAGAGGGAUGCAGCCCAACCUGAUGCUCACAGGAAGGAGGAUGAAGAGACCCUCUUUGCCAUGAGCCUGGUGCCAACACUGAAGAGGCUGCCUCAGCAAAGAAAAGCAGCAGUCACAGUUAAAAUGUAUCAGCUGCUUUUCAAAGCCGAGUUCAAUGAAAUGGAGUCAAUUUAGCCGGCCAGCUCACAGGAAGGACAGGAAGAGGAGAGGAAGGACAGGAAGAGGAGAGGAAGGACAGGAAGAGGAGAGGAAGGACAGGAAGAGGAGAGGAAGGACAGGAAGAGGAGAGGAAGGACAGGAAGAGGAGAGGAAGGACAGGAAGAGGAGAGGAAGGACAGGGAGAGGAGAGGAAGGACAGGGAGAGGAGUUGUCUGGUUGUUGUUUUGGCCUCCCUCAUUGUACCUUUCUUUUCACAUACGUCAGUUCUGUUUAAAUUCAGUCAAUUCAUAAAGUAAUUUGUUUAUAAAUUAUUAGGAUAGCAUUCAUUAUUAGUGUUACAUAGAUUUCUGAAUUGAAACUCAUACGGAGUUUUCACAGAUGCUCUUGGUGUCUUACGAGACUAAAGGUCAAUAUAUUUAUUUCCUUUAAAACCACUUGAAAACCAGGGUGUUAACUUUUUGUGAAGUUAUGUUCCAUCGACUGGUCCAUGACGUCCAGGGGCCAUUUGUUUGUUUAACUGUGUUAUGGCUACAUAUUAUUUCCUUUUUUUCAGAGACACACACACACCUCUUCAUACCUCAGAUCUCCAGUGCCCUGCCCUCUCUCUCUUUAUGGCCAUGUAUGAAGUUCCCCUACUACGUCUAGGCUUUAUGACUAGUUGUCAGUUGUUUCAUAUCUAAUUUAGACUUAAUCUGCUUAUUUCUUCCCUACACCUUUGCAGAUCUAAGACAAGAUGAAAGUAAAAACACAUUCUCUUUUUUCCACCUGUAUUUUGUCAGGCCAGUGAACAUGGUGGUAAACUGUAAUAUUUCUAUGGACCCUAGGUUACCCUUUCCCUUCGUUAUCAUACUAACUGUAUGUCGUAUAACCUUAAUUAGUGCUCCCGCUCACCUGAUGUACCAUGCCAGGUGUGUAUAAUACUGACGUUAAUGGGAGAGGGAAGGUGUUAUUAAGGUGUGGUCUUUACUCCCAAAUGUCACUUAAAUAUAGCUUCCAAAUGAAGAGAGACAAUGAUACAUAAAGUAAUCUGUGGGAAAAAUGCAAUUUUAUGGACAACGGUGGAUGGUUCUUAAAAUAACCUUUGUGUUAUGGGGCUCUUAAAAGAGCCGUUUCACUCCACGGCAUACUGCCAUGGGACUUCACCUGCUGGCGAUGAGAAGUAGGUGGUCAGCUUCUCCCUCACCUGGAGUGCCUGUCUGAGGGCGUUGUUGGCACCUGCCCUGGUGACAUCAGGAAGGUGACCAUUUGGCGUGCCCAUCUCCAUCCGGAGCGGCUACUGGAAUGACCUCCGCAGGUAGUUGUGGAGAACACAUAUGGCCUUCACGCAGGCAUCGACAUUUGUGGGGCUGAGACCAAGCACUCUCCGAUACAUUUUCCAUCGGGCUGCCAGAAUCCCAAAGGCGCAUUCAACAACUAACCUUGCCCUGGACAGUCGUUUGUUAAAGAUCCUUACAGGCUUUGGCAAUGGCAGCUGGCGUCCAGCGUAGGGCCUCAUGAGGUUGGGUCUUAAAGGGAAGGCCUCAUCGCCGACGAAGAUGUGGGGAACAGGUCCCAGGUCUUCAGCCCCAGGGAGUGAUGCAGGUGGUGGAAUAUCCAGGGUGCCAUCCUGAAGUGCCUGGCCAAAGGCAGAGUCCCGGAGGGUCCCGCCAUCACUUCCCUUGCCGUAAGCACCAACAUCGACAACACGGAAACAGUAGAUGGCAUCUACUACAGCCAAGAGUACAACUGAAUAUGUACCCUUGUAGUUGUAGAAUUGCGAACCUGAGCACGGUGGAGCCUGGAUUACUACAUGUUUCCCGUCAAUGGAGGAAUAAAAAAUGUAAAGAAAUUAUGCAAUCAAACUGUUUUUAUGUAAUCCCAAAUUUUUACUGAAUGUGUGCAACAAAAAAAAUCUACAUUCAUAUUUUGCUACUUUCUGUCAAGUCCACUCAUACAAUUUGAUGCAUACGUUCGAUAAAUCGAACGUAUGCACCACACAGAACGCACUGCAACUGCCUCUGCAACGCAAUGCUGUAAGGCAAAUGCAGCGUUCCAUUGGAAAUGAAUGUACUUCUGGUGUAUCGAAACGCAAGACGCAGUCGGGUGUGUUCGAAAGCGUAAGAAAAAAAGCAAUGCAGUAGCAGCAGCAAAAGAACUUGAGUUGGCGUGGCAGAAAAUUGCUGACCGAGUCAGUGCUUGAGUAUUAAUUUAAAGAAGUUAUCUCGAGUGUUCCACUUAUUCAACAUUUUAUAUAAUAUAAAUGUGUGUGUGUGCAUGCAUGCGCGUGUUUAAUAUUAAUGCAUGUCCAACCCAACAGGCACAAAACCUACUUGGCAGACACUGAAGAUGAAAUAUAAAAAUAUACUUCAAACAGGUAAGGUAUAAUUUCCUUACAAGCAAUUGUGAUGUUGUUUAGCCUACCCUACCUAAUUAAACAGCAUUCAGUGGCUACAUUCAACCUAUAAUAUAUUUAAGUAGUUAGUGACAUUUUCUAAGCAAAAAAAGUGUUUUUCAGCCAUCACAACACUGCCAGUAUUUGAAAGUUACACCUAAAUUCCUUUGUACAUACAUGUCUCUGAAUUUGUGCUUACAAUUAUAACCAAUAGAAAAAGGCUGAGGGCUUAAAAACAGGUGAGGGUCCACCACCACUCACAGAGGCUGAAGAGAUGACCCUCAGUCAAAACAGUGGGUGACCUAUUGAUGAAGGUAUCUUUGAAGGAGCUCAUCUGACCCAGCCACCCCCCAGGACACAAGGGCCUACAUAAGAGUUUAGUUAUUCACAUUAAUGAUAUGUACAUUCAUCCUUUUGCCAGUGUUUCCUCAGUGAUGCCCACCCAUCCAUCUUAGACACAACUUUGUACAAUUAUUUGUAAUUGACUUAUGUUACUUUUUCAGAUUCUUAGUUGUCCUUCAGAUCUAUUUUAAGGUGACUCAGAAUUAUAUAUUUGAAAAAAUUGUAAUGUGGCCUACACACUGUUGUAAAACCAAAAUUCAAAUUGUGGGGCACUUUUCUGGGUAAAGUUAUAAUUGAACUGUCUAAUCUUAAUAUUCUACCAGUUACUGAUGGUAUAAUCUGUCUGGAGCCUUCUGCCAUAACAGACCUCCAUGCAGUUGAGGAUGAUGAUGAAGACACCUUGUCAGCUGCCACAGAGAGGGAAGAUACAGAGAGGCCUAUUGAGGUUCACACCUUAAAAAUAACAUUUAACAGUUGAUGAUAGUGUUGUACCAUAAUAAAACUUGCACCUUUUUCUCUAA